ACCUGGCUGGCUCAACUGGUGGAGCAUACGACUCUUAAUCUUGGGAUUGUGAGUUCGAGUCCCACAUUGGGUG
rnacentral:tRNA from 1 species